GGUUAAGCGACUAAGCGUACACGGUGGAUGCCCUGGCAGUCAGAGGCGAUGAAGGGCGUGCUAAUCUGCGAUAAGCGCCGGUAAGGUGAUAUGAACCGUUAUAACCGGCGAUUCCCGAAUGGGGAAACCCAGUGUGAUUCGUCACACUAUCAUUAACUGAAUCCAUAGGUUAAUGAGGCGAACCGGGGGAACUGAAACAUCUAAGUACCCCGAGGAAAAGAAAUCAACCGAGAUUCCCCCAGUAGCGGCGAGCGAACGGGGAGGAGCCCAGAGCCUGAAUCAGCAUGUGUGUUAGUGGAAGCGUCUGGAAAGGUGCGCGAUACAGGGUGACAGCCCCGUACACAAAAGCGCAUGUGCUGUGAGCUCGAUGAGUAGGGCGGGACACGUGGUAUCCUGUCUGAAUAUGGGGGGACCAUCCUCCAAGGCUAAAUACUCCUGACUGACCGAUAGUGAACCAGUACCGUGAGGGAAAGGCGAAAAGAACCCCGGCGAGGGGAGUGAAAAAGAACCUGAAACCGUGUACGUACAAGCAGUGGGAGCACAGGUUUACCUGUGUGACUGCGUACCUUUUGUAUAAUGGGUCAGCGACUUAUAUUCUGUAGCAAGGUUAACCGAAUAGGGGAGCCGGAGGGAAACCGAGUCUUAAUUGGGCGUUAAGUUGCAGGGUAUAGACCCGAAACCCGGUGAUCUAGCCAUGGGCAGGUUGAAGGUUGGGUAACACUAACUGGAGGACCGAACCGACUAAUGUUGAAAAAUUAGCGGAUGACCUGUGGCU
rnacentral:rRNA from 1 species